AUUGAACGCUGGCGGAAUGCUUUACACAUGCAAGUCGAACGGCAGCGCGGACUUCGGUCUGGUGGCGAGUGGCGAACGGGUGAGUAAUGUAUCGGAACGUGCCCAGUCGGGGGGGAUAACGUAGUGAAAAUUACGCUAAUACCGCAUACGAUCUAUGGAUGAAAGCGGGGGAUCGCAAGACCUCGCGCGAUUGGAGCGGCCGAUAUCAGAUUAGGUAGUUGGUGGGGUAAAGGCCCACCAAGCCAACGAUCUGUAGCUGGUCUGAGAGGACGACCAGCCACACUGGAACUGAGACACGGUCCAGACUCCUACGGGAGGCAGCAGUGGGGAAUUUUGGACAAUGGGCGAAAGCCUGAUCCAGCCAUUCCGCGUGCAGGAUGAAGGCCCUCGGGUUGUAAACUGCUUUUGUACAGAACGAAAAGGUUUCUACUAAUACUAGGAGCUCAUGACGGUACUGUAAGAAUAAGCACCGGCUAACUACGUGCCAGCAGCCGCCGUAA
rnacentral:rRNA from 1 species